CAGGUGAAAAGUCCAAUGCUGUAAGCAAGCUUCCCAGCACUCCCAAAGGAAAUCGUGCUUGUUUAAUGUGGCGAAAGCCAAAGCCGCAAGAAGAACUUAGACUUCAGUGCAGAGACGCCUUCAAAAAGCACUGUCACAAAUACGGAAAGUAUCAGUUUGUAUUCACAAAAGACGCUGUCGUAAGAAGAAUCUUGGCCCGCAGCCAAUGAUCUGAACUAAUAAACCAUGUGUACCUGCAA